GACGAACGCUGGCGGCGUGCUUAACACAUGCAAGUCGAACGAUGAACCCGGAGCUUGCUCUGGGGGAUUAGUGGCGAACGGGUGAGUAACACGUGAGUAACCUGCCCUGGACUCUGGGAUAAGCGUUGGAAACGACGUCUAAUACCGGAUAGGACCUUGGAUCGCAUGAUCUGGGGUGGAAAGUUUUUUCGGUCUGGGAUGGACUCGCGGCCUAUCAGCUUGUUGGUGGGGUAGUGGCUCACCAAGGCGUCGACGGGUAGCCGGCCUGAGAGGGUGGCCGGCCACACUGGGACUGAGACACGGACGGGCCACAUACGGGAGGCAGCAGGGGGGAAGAUUGCACAAUGGGCGAAAGCCUGAUGCAGCAACGCCGCGUGCGGGAUGACGGCCUUCGGGCUGUAAACAGCUUUUAGUAGGGAAGAAGGGCUUCGGCUUGACGGUACCUGCUGAAAAAGGACCGGCUAACUACGUG
rnacentral:rRNA from 1 species